UACGAGGGGGGCGAGCGUUGUUCGGAAUUAUUGGGCGUAAAGGGUGCGUAGGCGGUUUGGUAAGUCUGAUGUGAAAUCUAUGGGCUCAACUCAUAGUCUGCAUCGGAAACUGCCGGGCUUGAGUGUGGGAGAGGUGAGUGGAAUUCCUGGUGUAGUGGUGGAAUGCGUAGAUAUGCGGAGGAACACCGAUGGCGAAGGCAAUCCCCUGGGCCUGCACUGACGCUCAUGCACGAAAGCGUGGGGAGCAAACAGG
rnacentral:rRNA from 1 species